GGCAGUAAAAUAUUCUAGGUAAAUAUCUUUGCCAAGGCUGAUGACUUUCAGAAUCAGGCUCACUCUCAUGAAGAUUAUUCAAGGAGGUUUAAACACAAGGGUAGUAUCUUUGCCAAGGCUAAUGACUUUCAGAAUCAGGCUCAACCUCCUGAAGAUUUUGCAAGCAGGUUUGAACCGAAGGAAAAUACAAGUGUGGUGACUGUGGUAGGAAAUACUUUGUUAAUUGGUAUCAAACUAUCAUUCGAAUGUUCAUCUUGAGAUUUUACAGUCUGCAGAGAAACCACAAAAUAAUGUUGAGCUUUCCAAUUCUACUCCACUUCCACCUUCAAAACCAACGCUGUUAAGAUAAAAAAAAAAAAUCUUAAAACAAAUAAUCUCCAGUGUUGUCAUAUAGCCUGCUCUUAAUUUGCUCUAUGUUUCUUCUGCAGACAACUAUUGGCUCAACUUCCAAUCACAUCCAACAACAUGGUGCUUCCUUAACAGAACCAAUGGUUAUAUGAUUAUCCAUUAUAAAGGUCUAAAAGUGGUGGCUGCGACUCUUCUUCUAGAGAAGACAGAGAUCAGAUUCCUUCUACAAACAUCCCCAUCUCAAGACUAGAAUUUUUGAAGGAGCUAUUAAGAGAAGCAUCAGUGGGAAAAUAAACAUAAAAACAGAAGACUUCUGUGCAUUGUCAAU